rnacentral:lncRNA from 1 species
UUUUAUUGCAUAACCUACUUUUAAUUUAAAAGUUCCUAUAUUGUAUAUAUCUGAAAUAGGUACCUUAGGUAUUUUCUAAUUUGUGAUUUGUUUUUCAAUAUUGUUUAUUACAACUUCUUCUUUGUUUUUUAUUCUUAGAGUAUUACUAGCUUGUGGUAGUGCAUUACUUGAUAGAUUCCUAACGAAAUUUGCAAUUAUUAGGUUGCGGAUGAGUGUUUUUUUUUGUUACCUCUUACGUCUUUUUGACCUCAGCGGCUCUCCUGGUUUUAGCGGUCUCUCGACUGAGUGCUUUUAAACUUCAACUCUCAGAGCAACUUUCUCUAAUGGUACAUAUCAGUAGUGUUUCUACCUUAUAACAUACUAACACUCACUCUUAAUGCUCCUUAAAUAAGAAACAAAUAUUUACGUUGCUUACUGAGUUGGCUCUGAUACCAUUUACACGUCAGGAUCUACUCUGAUUAAUUUAAGACUUAAAUUGACCUAUAUCUUUUAAACUAAUAUGAUAUAACUUAAGUAUAAAAAUAGUAAGACUAUUAUGACUAUGGAAAACGGAGCUAUAUCUUUAAACUAAUCUGACAUAACCUAAGUAUAAAAAUAGUAAGACUAUUAUCACUAUUGAAAAAGGAGCUAUAUUUAUUACUAACCAAGUAGAAUAAGUAUUCUCAUAGAUUUUAACAUUUAACACAAUACGAACUAACAUAGUAACCAUAACAGAUUUAUACAAACUGUUUGAAUAACAUAUUGUAAGACAACAUACUAUUAACAGACAGAACAACAUACAAACGAGCAUACUGGUUACAGAAGUAAAGAAACUUGCAGUGACAACAUAUUGUGUACAAAUAAGAAAGACUUACAGUGUACAAAUACAAAAACUGCAAAAAGACUUUCACUUGGGUGGACAGUGUCUUGGUAGAGACUUGUAGUUACAGUCACACUUCACACAUACUAAAACUAAUAUAUACAAGAGAAGAGGAGAGAAGAAGAAGAGAACAGGAGAAGAAUAUUCUUAUGAGCUUGCUAACUCUUGAAAAUAUUCCGAUGUCUCUCAAAUGAGAAGUGGCCUUCUUUUUAUAGACUCCGGACUCCAAGUGAUUCUUAGUUAGAAUGCAUUCUAACUUCAAUUAUUUUGGAUGGAUGGCGACAAUUGGUAUGGUGAGAUUCGCUUUGCAGAUGGAUGGCGAUGGGUGGUACGGCAAUAUUCGUUGGAGGGCGAAUUGGCUGGUGGCUUUCAUUACGUGGCAAAUUGAUUUGAACGGUGGCUGCACGGAUGGUCUUUAAAAGGUAAGAGAAUCUUUUCUUGAAUUUUGUCGUAUAUGGUAGAUGUCGUUGUAGAAUGAUGAUUGGGCAUGUAUUAUUAUGUCGGCAGGAAUAUUGAGUCACAUCUAAAUCACGUCAAAGAUAUCUUUGGUCUUGUCGUGGCAACUUUGGUCAUAUCAAUGGCAUAUUUGAGCAUUUUAUGUCAUAUCACAAGUAUAGUGUAUAUUCUUCAUCAUCGGGUCAUGGGCUCUAGUAUAAUGAUCGCCUUUGGGACAUACAAUGGGCAGAUGUAUCUUCUUCUUGGGCUUCAGUGACAUCUGUUGUUUCUUCUGAAAAAAUCUCAUAUAGCUGUUUCUCAAGUUCGGCUCUAGUGGCUUGAGGAUUGUGCUUUCUCAUUUGGGAUAUAUACUCAGACAGAUUAUUUGGGUCAAAAUAGGAAGACGGUUUGAAAUUAGUUGGGACUUGUAUCAGUAUAAUAUGUUAUGGGUCUAAAUUGUGGUAGAUAAAGACGUCCCACUACUUCACAACAAUCUGCUUUCCCAAACAUGGGAUAUAUUCAUAAUUAUUUAUAUUAUUAUCGGAUAUAGCAAAUGACCAUUUGGGUAUUCAUGGUAUCUGAUACAAAACAAAAAAAUAUAAAUGACAAUUUAUUUUGGGAUCUUUUUCAUUGUAUUCAAUAAAUUUGCUUUGAGAGGUUUGUAGGGUUUCU